GUCUUCUCCUUUUGUAUCUUGGUGUAAUUGUAUACGAGUUGAAUUGAAAAGAUGAACAAUGAAAUUUGUCAAGCACUCAGCUUAAAAAAAGAGAGCCAAAAAACAGGAAAAUGAAGCGAGAGCCAUUAUCCAGAUAUCUCUUUCGCCCUUUGGAACAACGUCCAUCACCGGCCGCGCGGGCUCAGAUUCCCUAACUGCCCGCCGCCGUACGAUCCCCCGAGAAGAUGACGGCAGCGACUCCGACUCUGACGCCCAGAAAAGCCUCAACCAGAAGAAGCGCGAGGCUCGGCCGCGACGUCCCCUGGGGCAUGGAACUCGCUUCCUUUUCCCAUCUCCAGAUCCAAGCGCUCCCUCAGAUACUACCGGGAAAAAAAGAUGUGCCUUGGAGGCGGCGCCAUUUUGAGCUUUCACGGGUUUCGUGGAUAUAAUGAUGUCCAAUAAUGCAGCACUGUAGAUUCAUUAUCGCUUUCUUUUUAAAAGGGGAAUUGCAGAGUGGCUUCUGUGGAGCAAGCGGCCUUGGACGCUUGGAUUCUUGCGAAGAGACUGAAACCGGAUGUUCGAGAAGGAAAGCGAAGGCAGUUCAAGUUCAUUGGUACUAUCACAUUUUUAUUCAUGUUUUUACGAGUGUGUACGUGUGUGUUUGUGAGAAUCUUUUUGCCUUUCUCGCGGCUUCACCUGGUAUCUUCUUUGCUAUGCUCGGCUAUUGCACGAUGAGUUCUUUCUGGGUAAAAUAGUUCUUGGAGUAAGCAGGUCUUUCCCAACUGCCGUUUUUUCCCACUUAGAUUGAAAUUGAGCGCGUCAGCUUGUACUUUAAAAUGCUUGGAUGGUACUUGCAGUAUAGUUCCUCGAGCAUAUAUUGAUGAAUGAUCAGUAACUGCUAAUGAUGUGCUCGGGAAAGUCAUAGAUGAAUGCUCAAGCCGGGUGAAAAAUCUGAAGUUUUGCUUGCUGAACAAAUUUUCUUUUUCCAAUUCCAGAUGGAACAUAAGUGUCUUUGUCUUUUUUUUUUUUCCUUUUUGCUAAAGCAGUUUUAUUUAGUUGUAUUCUAUAGAAUAUGCACGAGAGGUGACAUUGAUUCGUCGUGCAAUGUAAACUUCCUUAAUGAAUCACAUUUGUUAGGGAAGUUGCUGCGAGAAGUGGAGCCUGAGUUAAUAGAUGCUUCAAUUGAGGCCACGGAAGAUGGUGACCAGAGCAGGCUGCGAGCUUUAUUGGUAUCGGAGGCCUGGGUUGGCAAAGAUAAUGACGAAAGAGAAAGAAGAUUUCGAACAUGGACACGGGGAAGAGGAGGGGAUACCUGGUUUUUAACUUCGUCGCUUGAAAAAAAAAAAAAAAAAUCUGCAUUGCCUUCCGCUGCUCCUCAAAGUUUCAUUUGCAUCCUCUGAGGAAAACGAGUUCAGCAUGUACGGGCGGUGCGAGAAGUCCGCUUCCCAAUCACCUAGAGAAGAAAGUUUCACCAGUACGUCAUUGAUUUGAUACUUAGUUGUAAAGCAACCGUUGGAAACACUCUUUGCUGGUUACAAAUCUCUUAAGCAUACACUAAAAUCCUGGCUUCAUUUU